rnacentral:rRNA from 1 species
CCCUUAGAUGUUCUGGGCCACACGCGCGCUACACUGAUGCAUUCAACGAGCCUAUCCUUGACCGACAGGUCCGGGUAAUCUUUGAAUCUGCAUCGUGACGGGGAUAGAUUAUUGCAAUUAUUAAUCUUCAACGAGGAAUACCUAGUAGGCGCAAGUCAUCAGCUUGCGUCGAUUACGUCCCUGCCCUUUGUACACACCGCCCGUCGCUCCUACCGAUUGGGUGUGCUGGUGAAAUGUUCGGAUCGGCCGUUUGUCGCGGUUUCCGCGUCAUGUGGCUGAGAAGUUCAUUAAACCCUCCCACCUAGAGGAAGGAGAAGUCGUAACA